CAGCCGCCGCGGUAAUACGUAGGUGGCAAGCGUUGUCCGGAAUUAUUGGGCGUAAAGGGCUCGCAGGCGGUUUCUUAAGUCUGAUGUGAAAGCCCCCGGCUCAACCGGGGAGGGUCAUUGGAAACUGGGAAACUUGAGUGCAGAAGAGGAGAGUGGAAUUCCACGUGUAGCGGUGAAAUGCGUAGAGAUGUGGAGGAACACCAGUGGCGAGGGCGACUCUCUGGUCUGUAACUGACGCUGAGGAGCGAAAGCGUGGGGAGCGAACAGGAUUAGAUACCCCCGUAGUCCCUGUCUCUUAUCC
rnacentral:rRNA from 1 species